rnacentral:rRNA from 1 species
GAUGAACGCUGGCGGCGUGCCUAAUACAUGCAAGUCGAGCGAACAGACGAGGAGCUUGCUCCUCUGACGUUAGCGGCGGACGGGUGAGUAACACGUGGAUAACCUACCUAUAAGACUGGGAUAACUUCGGGAAACCGGAGCUAAUACCGGAUAAUAUAUUGAACCGCAUGGUUCAAUAGUGAAAGACGGUUUUGCUGUCACUUAUAGAUGGAUCCGCGCCGCAUUAGCUAGUUGGUAAGGUAACGGCUUACCAAGGCAACGAUGCGUAGCCGACCUGAGAGGGUGAUCGGCCACACUGGAACUGAGACACGGUCCAGACUCCUACAGGAGGCAGCAGUAGGGAAUCUUCCGCAAUGGGCGAAAGCCUGACGGAGCAACGCCGCGUGAGUGAUGAAGGUCUUCGGAUCGUAAAACUCUGUUAUUAGGGAAGAACAAAUGUGUAAGUAACGAUGCACGUCUUGACGGUACCUAAUCAGAAAGCCACGGCUAACUACGU